UACGAGUGGCCCAAGCGUUAUUCGGAAUCACUGGGCUUAAAGCGUGCGCAGGCGGACCCGUAGGCAUCUCGUGAAAUCCCACGGCUCAACCGUGGAACAGCGGGGUGAACCACGGGUCUCGAGGCGGGUAGGGGUCAGCGGAACUAUGGGUGGAGCGGUGAAAUGCGUAGAUAUCCAUGGGAACGCCGAUGGCGAAGGCAGCUGACUGGGCCUGUCCUGACGCUCAGGCACGAAAGCGUGGGUAGCAAACGGG
rnacentral:rRNA from 1 species